rnacentral:lncRNA from 1 species
UCUAUGAAAUGUGUUUGCAUGUUCUUCUCCGCGAGCGGGGAUGUAGAGGUGGGAUUGCGAGAAUCGAAAGGUUGGAGAGCCCGCACGCUCAGCUUCCGAGAAAGCUUGGAGACGGUCCGCUUGGACAGUGGGAGCCCUCCCCUCCUCUUCGUUCUGGUUUGGUGAUGCUUCCUACAGGAGCAGCAUUUCGGUGGUUCCAGUAAGACUCUGACCCUCCACUCUAACCCUUACCUACACAAACCCAAAGCUCUGCGAUCAAGUGCAAUGCCAACUCUCGCUUCGAUUGUAUCGGGCAUGGACACUGGCUGACAAGAAAACUUACAACAAAUAAAAAGAUAUAAAAAAAAAUUACGAAACAGGAAUGAUACAAAAUAAUCAACUGAGUAAUGGAUGCACCUAAUUAUUCCUUGAACCAAAAAUUAAAUAUAAAGAAAAUAAUCUAUGGCAACUUUCAUUCAUUCCCUUUUCUAUGUUCCCAUUUUGGUACAUUUUGUCCUGUUUCCAGCAGGUCUUUUCUGUCGCUCAGACAUGGAACUGUUCAUUGCUAAACAGAAAUGACUGACUGAGUGUGGACAAUCAACACAUGUCUGUGUUUGGUGUUAAUGUUGUUCACAUGUGGAAAGAUACAGUACUUGUGUAGAGAAUGUACAUUUAUGGCUAUAUUUUAAAACUAGUGGCUAAUGGCAGGCACUAUUGUAAUUUAGCACCAUUGUUCUUAUCUAAACCCUUGUCUAUUUUAUGAUUUAUAUUGUUGCAAGAAUAUAGUUUGAAACGGAUCAAUGGUUGUCUUUUAAAAGAAAAAGGAAAUGUUUCAAAAUGUAAAAAUCCAGAUUUCUGAUUCAAAUGAAAAAGCAACUCUCAUCCUAUGGGGCAGAAGUCUAGGGGACUCUUUAGCAGGAUGAUCCUAACCUCCAGAGAACUCACUGGAAUCUCCCCAACCAACCAACCAACCAACCAACCAACCAACCGUGUUUUCCUCGCCUGUAUUUCCAAGCUUUUUAUUUAGUGAAACUGGCAGCCUUACGUUCCUAUGGCCCUAGCGACUGUGUCUGGCAUGAGGAGGACAGAGGGCGACAUCACUAGGAGGCACUUGUUCUGAGUCUACCCAUUUGAACGCACUGAAACAUGAAUUUAUUUGUAUUUUUUAUUUGUUAAUUUUUUUAAAUUAUGUUGCUGGUAGCUACAUCUUUUAAAAACAACAGCGAUGUUUGUAUUCAUUUAGAAAAUUGGACUGGUUUUGUGAAUAAAAACGAAUGCAUGUAUUUGUGUAAAAAUUUACAGUUCUGAUGUUUGUCUACUUGUCUUUGCAUGUUUUUUUCCCCUAAAACAGCGGGUGAAGUAUGAAAAUGUCCGGUAAAUCUUUCAAAUUUGUUCCCUUUUCAUAUCAUUGGAUGCUAUAAUUUAAAAAAAAAAUAUUGGGCGAGAAAUACAAAUCAUUAAAGCAGAAGGAGGAAAUGGUGUGUUUCAUUCAGAUGUUUCCUGUUGCUCUAGCAUAGAUACCCAAUACAAACAACACUGGUAGUGACAGGGUAGGAACCAAAGUUUUGGUGAGUGUUUCCCAGUGUUUCCCAGGGGGCCCUAAUUAGUGUUCCUCAUGAAAGAGUGUUGUACUUGAAGGUUCUAUGUAGAGAUAGUGUGGAGUUGUUGCAAUGGGUAGAUUGAUGUACAGGUAACUGCCAAAAUAAAGGAUACAUCAACAUAAAGUGUCUUAAUUGGGCGUUGGGCCAGAACAGCUUCAGUGCACCUUGGCAUAGUAGAGUCUACAAGUGUCUGGAACUCUGUUGGAGGGAUGCAACACCAUUCUUCCACGAGAAAUUCCAUAAUUUGUUUUUUUGUUGAUGGUGGUGGAAAACACUGUUUCAGGUGCUGCUCCAGAAUCUCCCAUUAGUGUUCAAUUGGGUUGAGAUCUGGUGACUGAUACACUCGUGCCCUGUGGAUGGGGGCAUUGUCAUCCUAUAGCCAUGGUAGACAAAAUAAUGGCCUGCCCAGAAUUUGUUUACAUGACCCUAAGCAUGAUGGGAUGUUAAUUGCUUAAUUAACUCGGGAACCAUACCUGUGUGGAAUCACCUGCUUUCAAUAAACUUUGUAUUCCUC